UACAGAGGGCUCAAGCGUUGUUCGGAUUCAUUGGGCGUAAAGGGCGCGUAGGCGGCGGGGUAAGUCGGGUGUGAAAUCUCAGGGCUCAACCCUGAAACUGCACUCGAUACUGCUCUGCUUGAGGACUGGAGAGGAGACUGGAAUUCACGGUGUAGCAGUGAAAUGCGUAGAGAUCGUGAGGAAGACCAGUGGCGAAGGCGGGUCUCUGGACAGUUCCUGACGCUGAGGCGCGAAGGCCAGGGGAGCAAACAGG
rnacentral:rRNA from 1 species